AUACGGAGGAUGCGAGCGUUAUCCGGAUUCAUUGGGUUUAAAGGGUACGUAGGUGGCCCGGUAAGUCAGUGGUGAAAACCUGCCGCUUAACGGUAGGCGUGCCAUUGAUACUGUCGGGCUUGAGUGCAGUUGAGGCAGGCGGAAUGUGUAGUGUAGCGGUGAAAUGCAUAGAUAUUACACAGAACUCCGAUUGCGAAGGCAGCUUGCUAAAGUGCAACUGACGCUGAUGUACGAAAGCGUGGGUAGC
rnacentral:rRNA from 1 species